AGUGAACGCUGGCGGUAGGCCUAACACAUGCAAGUCGAACGGCAGCACAGUAAGAGCUUGCUCUUACGGGUGGCGAGUGGCGGACGGGUGCGGAAUACAUCGGAAUCUACUUUUUCGUGGGGGAUAACGUAGGGAAACGUACGCUAAUACCGCAUACGACCUACGGGUGAAAGCAGGGGAUCUUCGGACCUUGCGCGAUUGAAUGAGCCGAUGUCGGAUUAGCUAGUUAGCGGGGUAAAGGCCCACCAAGGCGACGAUCCGAAGCUGGUCUGAGAGGGUGGUUAGCCAGCCUGGCACUGAGACACGGCCCAGACUCCUACGGGAGGCCGCAGUCGGGAAUAUUGGACAAUGCGCGAGAGCCUGAUCCAGCCCUACCGCGUGGGUGAAGAAGGCCUUCGGGUUGUAAAGCCCUUUUGUUGGGAAAGUAAAGCAGCAGGUUAAUCCCCCGCUGUUCUGACGGUACCCAAAGAAUAAGCACCGGCUAACUUCGUG
rnacentral:rRNA from 1 species